ACGGAGGGUGCAAGCGUUAAUCGGAAUCACUGGGCGUAAAGCGCACGUAGGCUGUUUGGUAAGUCAGGGGUGAAAUCCCGCGGCUCAACCGCGGAAUUGCCCUUGAUACUGCUGGACUUGAGUUCGGGAGAGGGUGGCGGAAUUCCAGGUGUAGGAGUGAAAUCCGUAGAUAUCUGGAGGAACAUCAGUGGCGAAGGCGGCCACCUGGACCGAUACUGACGCUGAGGUGCGAAAGCGUGGGGAGCAAACAG
rnacentral:rRNA from 1 species